GGUACCGUCGUUGAUUGAUGAAAAGUGCUAAGUUAAUCAACUUCAAACUAAAUCCGAACGCGUAAGAUUAACGCAAAUGACAAAUUAGAUCACUAAUUAGCCCUUGCUUAAUCAGGUAAUUAAGAUCCAUUACUAUACAGCAGAUGUGUGCAUGUGAGAGAGAGACCAGCACUUGUUACAGAAUGUUUACUGUAACACGAUGGCUUGACAAGAGAAAGUGCUCCUCAGUAAUUUCUAACUAUUAGUGCUGACAGCUUGCAGACUUCCUGCCAGAGAAGACCCAGGUGUGUGUGUAGUGUGUACCAUUCUGACAGUAGAUAGCAGGAAUUAAGUACAGUAAGCUUUACUGAUUUACUACUCUAACAAGCAGACAGCAUUAAAGGCAGACAUGAUGUAUUUUACAAGGAGAGGGUCAGCCAGGUAAAUUAACUAUAUAAGAAGCAGACAUCAUGUUGUGUAGAUGGUUUCAAAGACAACCCGGAAAGCACAUGCAGCCAUAUUAAAGUCAUCAAAUUGUCUGUUGGAAACAGAAACCAGCUUCAACAAAUCACUACAACAGAUCCAUGCAGUAAUUCUACUGAUGUAGUCUUAAAUAAAUGACUCAUUAAAUUAAACCAGAAUUUUUUUUUCUCAGUGGCACACUUUUUGUUUUCUAGACUUAAAAUAAGAAACAGCAACUACCAUUUCUAUUGGCAGACAUCUUAUAUAUUAUGUGUUAAUUUUUUUGUUUUCAAAUUCUCUGUGUGGAAACCAAGGAAUUUGAAGUGGAAUAGGUAGUAACACUACACCCUAGGGGAUAGCUCCCUGGUAGACAUUGGUCUCCAAAUUUCCAUGGUAAACCCAAUUCCUUUCUGUUUUUUAAAAAAAUGAAUGUAAUAGAAACAUUUGUCAGACCUGCAGCCAAGACACCCUUCUUGAUGAAAACCAAAUACUAUAGACCUACCUAUGUACACAGUUUUCUAAAGAUAUAUUUAAAACAUCUUUAUCUGAAGAAUGUCGAGAAGCUAUUUCUUUUCUGGUCCUUUUAAAGCCCAAAUGUGAGAAUAAAGGUUAACAAGUCAGUUUAAAACCAUACACAAUAAACAUAAUUUUUAUUUUAAACAUUUGGUCUAAAAACUAUUAUUCUUAUAGUUCUUAACUGUUGGUAUGCAACCUUAUAUACUUACUAUGCUUAAAAAAAUAUACAUCAAGAUGUCUGCACGUUUUACAAGACUGGUAAAAUAUCAAAUAAAAACAUGUUCCCUAGCUAUUGUCAUAUACUCCCUUUACUAAACCAACUUAUUCAUAUUAUUAAGGAAUAGUGGUCUGAAGCCUUCUUGAGUUCUUUGUGUUAAUAGAGUUACUUCCCUUGAUUAAUAAAAGGCUUUGAUCCUAGAUGGAAUUCUGGGAUGGAGUGAAAUGGAAGAUGGCUGUUUUUAAUUAGCUCUUCUGAUUGUCAUAAACAAUCCAGGCCAUCUUGUGGCCUAUACACCCCAAUACCACAUGGUGGAG